rnacentral:piRNA from 1 species
GAUUUUAGGUCUGUUUGUCGUAGGCAG